UGAAGACCUUGUGGGAGGGUUGAAGAGGAGGGGAGAAUAGAAAAAAAUGUAGAGCUCAAUAAAAAUCAAUAGAAUUUUUUUUUAUAAAAAGACAAAGGGGUAAGGGUGGCUAAGCAUUGUACUCCCAGACCAGCACAUGUGUAGUUCACUAUAGCCCGUCUGGCUUUUCAUGAAGCCAAUAAGAAGCAUGACAAGAUGUUGGGAUGCCCAGCAUCAUUGUGAGGGAUGACGGAAGUAUUUAGGGACUAUAAAUUAUCCUGCGAGAGACCUGACAGGAAAGGCCAGAGAUGCUUUCGGGAGGAAAACCAGAUGUUUGAUUGCUCAUGACACCUCUCAGCUUGAGAGGCCCCACUCUCUUUUUCAUCUCGCACGUUCAGCGCCCAAGUUUCUGCUCCAAGAUCAGAUUUACGGGAAUUGCCCAUGCCAGUGGCUGUCCAGAGAGCUGAAGAGAAACUAGACUUAGAUACAGACACGCUCCGGAGCCACACUGACAGUGUUGUGCAGUUCAAGCAUCGCCGGGCAGCCAUGUUGAUGCAUUCUGUUCUGUGCAUGCCCAUCAGUCACCAGAUGUUCAGCGGAGCCUUGCAGGUGGUGGGGUUUGAACUCAAGUGAGGCCACCGGCAAGGCAGUACAUCAUGACAGAGGGAAGAGAUCCACCUCAAAACAGCCAACAAACAAAAUGAGUGGAGUAGAGGUCUCCCAGAAGGCUUCUUCCAUCUGACUGCGGUUCUAUCUAUCCAGCCUACUAGAUGCUAUCGCAGGCAUCUACAGGGUCCAUCCGUUCUUGUCCAUGUGUCAACCAUCACUGGGAGUAUCCUCAUGGACACCACAAAAGUGUGCUUCAGUAAUCUCUUAGCCUUUCAAAUCUGAUCAAGUUGACAUUGCAGAUUAACCAUCUGGGGGCGAUCUCUCAUUUCCCUUUCUGAGAGGAAAUUGGGUUGAGAUGGCUUGUUUAGACUUCAGGUUCCUGAUGGAGAUCUAUUAUUGUGGGAGUACCACUAAUGGGCGUGGUUCUCUCUGCUGCUUCCUCUAGCUGAACAAUGAGAAGAGCAAGAAGGUGGGCCUAGACCAGUUUCCUGUUUCCCUGCACCAGAGAGGCUCUCUUUCCCUACAGAUGCCCGAUUCUUCGAGUUCUUGUCGCUUUAGUCUGAUGCUGGAAAGGAAAGAUCAUAUUAACCGGGGUCUCCCAUUUGUCUUAAGGAUGUUUGUCCGAUUUACUAGAGAACUCUGAUUUGUGGACCACAUAUUCCUGGCCAGAGCAGGAGUCCACAGAGAGCAAUGCUCAGCUUGGAUGAAGUGUCUCCUCUUCCUUGCUCCGCCCAGCGAAGUCUUCCUUCACACAGCAAAGUGCUAAAGAGAUACUGGUUUUCCUAUUGUUUCCACAGCUCUGCCUCUGUAAAGCCAACAUCUUUCCCUUUACCUUUCAUAUCACAGUGAUAUAACUGCUUAACAACGAGCUGCACACAUUCAGUGUGUGCCCUUUAAUGAGCUUGAAGAUGUACAAAUGCCUGCGUUACUCUCACCAAAAUUCAGGCAAAUCACUUUCCAAGCCUCUCUGGGUGAGACACACGAACAGAUGUCCCUUUACGUGACCUCUCAGCAUGAGAUCUUCCUUCUUCACUUAGAAGUUCCCUAUGUCAUCUGUGACUGUAGGUGACAGUGUGUACAGCGGUUGCCUAGCACUCACUGCUCCAUCAUAAUGAGAUGUUCUACCCUACACUUGAGAGUAUCCAGUACAUUCCUCUUCUGUACUUACAAACAAUGACAAUAAAAGAGCAUCUCUAACGGGCCAGCCGUGGAGCCGUUUCAGUGAGAACAGCCUUGAUCCUCAGGGUGGCACUGUUUGGGGGAUUUUAGAAGGUGUGUUCUUGCUGAAGGAGAUACGUCACUGGAGGGAGGCUCUGAGUAUUGAUUGUCCUGCCCCGCUUCCUGUUUACUUCCUCCACGUCAUGGCUACUGAUCUAGAUGUGAGCUCUUCGCUUUCGGUCCCUGCCGUCAUACCUGCUGCUUGCUGCUAUGCUGCCGGGCCACGAUGGACUCUUAGGCCUCUGCUACCAUAAACCCAAACAAACAGUCUGCUCUAUAGGUUGCCUUGUUCAUGGU